UAUUUAAUGGGUUGUCGACUAUGUAUGUCAGAGUUCGUUGGAAAAGAGAUGGGAUUCUGUAGGAGGCCUCAGAGACAUAGCAUAUGGAUUAUUCAGAGAUUUGUUACGUUGAUAAUGAGGAAUAAACAGAAAACUCGAAUUCGAGGACGAAUUCAUUUUAAGUGGGGGAGAAUUGUAACGAUCCAAUUCCGGUUACAGAAAUUGUUAGCAUGCUAAGGAUCGAACGCUUAUACAAGGGCUCAAUAAUUUGAGUAUAAAAGCCUCUUCACCACCUUGUUUUCUCAGAAACAUCAAGAAAAGAAGAAAAAGAAAUAGAAGUUGGAGAUAGAGAGAGAGAAAGAGAACGAGAGAGAGAAGAGGUGAAAAGUGCACCACCUGAUUUCGUCACCAGAGCCACCGCACGCCAAGACCAAGUUGAGCUCAUCGCCACCAUUCACCGCAGCCCAGAAUUGUCGGAAACCACCAUGCAAUCAAGCUUAGUUUCGUCCGUUUAGUAAAUCGACCAUAACUCUCUAACCGUCGCGAAUUUCGUGCAUGCAAGACCACCAUCGCGUUCCUCUCGUCGAGACGAAUCCGUAGCCACCAGAAUCGCCGCAAUCGGAGCUCGGACGAAGCCGUACGCACCCUCCGAAGUUUCGCCGGAAAUCGCCAACGCACCACCGGACCACCGCUGCUCCGCCGUAGUUCGCCACCGUCGCCGCCGCCGGAACACCGCUUCUCCGCUGCCGGACCGCCGUUGCCGCCGAUUUGGAGUCUAUUUGAGCAUCUGGAGUUCAUAGAUACCACUUCUCUACAUUUUCUAAGGUGAGACAAGCAUCAAUGUGAUAUUUGGACGGACUCGGUGCUAUUGGACUCUUCCUUCGGAUUUUAUUUUGGGCAUGGGCUGAGAGUAUAGUUAGGUGUAUGGCCUUUUGUAUUAUGUGUUAUGGUUGGUGGCCCGUCGUUCACAAUAUUGUGGAGACUGGUGUCACAUUAUUAUUUGUUGAGGUGUCGGUUGACAUGUGGCCAUUUAGUUAGAAAGUGACGGGUGUCACAUUUUACUUUUGUGUUCUUCUUGGAUUUUCUAUGAUAGAGCAAACACACAAAGAAGAGACUUCCUUUGAGAAAGUUUAAACCCUUUAAGAUUGACUUUUGGUUACUUUUUGUGUACCUUUGAGGUUUCCUUUUGUGAUUUCACUGUUUGUUUGUUAUGUGCUAUAUUGACAUUUGCCAUUUUCAUACAUCCUUUUUAACUUUUGUUCUCGUUGAACUUUGCAUUAUUAAUACACUACAUAGUUAUCACAUUCAUCUUUUUGUGUGCU